UACGUAGGGUGCGAGCGUUAAUCGGAAUUACUGGGCGUAAAGCGUGCGCAGGCGGUUUUGUAAGCCCGAUGUGAAAUCCCCGGGCUUAACCUGGGAAUGGCAUUUGGGACUGCAAGGCUCGAGUGCGGCAGAGGAGACUGGAAUUCCUGGUGUAGCAGUGAAAUACGUAGAUAUCAGGAGGAACACCGAUGGCGAAGGCAGGUCUCUGGGCUGACACUGACGCUCAUGCACGAAAGCGUGGGGAGCAAACAGG
rnacentral:rRNA from 1 species